UACGUAGGGGCAAGCGUUGUCCGGAAUCAUUGGGCGUAAAGCGCGUGUAGGCGGCUCGAUAAGUCUGUUCUGAAAGUCCAGGGCUCAACCCUGGGAUGCGGAUGGAUACUGUCGAGCUCGAGUCCGGAAGAGGCGAGUGGAAUUCCUGGUGUAGCGGUGAAAUGCGCAGAUAUCAGGAGGAACACCAAUGGCGAAGGCAGCUCGCUGGGACGUGACUGACGCUGAGACGCGAAAGCGUGGGGAGCAAACAGG
rnacentral:rRNA from 1 species